GAUGAUCAGCCACAUUGGGACUGAGACACGGCCCGAACUCCUACGGGAGGCAGCAGUGGGGAAUAUUGGACAAUGGGCGAAAGCCUGAUCCAAGCCAUGCCGCGUGUGUGAAGAAGGCCCUCGGGUUGUAAAGCACUUUCAGCGAGGAAGAACGCCUAGUGGUUAAUACCCACUAGGAAAGACAUCACUCGCAGAAGAAGCACCGGCUAACUCCGUGCCAGCAGCCGCGGUAAUACGGAGGGUGCAAGCGUUAAUCGGAAUUACUGGGCGUAAAGCGCGCGUAGGUGGCUUGAUAAGCCGGUUGUGAAAGCCCCGGGCUCAACCUGGGAACGGCAUCCGGAACUGUCAAGCUAGAGUGCAGGAGAGGAAGGUAGAAUUCCCGGUGUAGCGGUGAAAUGCGUAGAGAUCGGGAGGAAUACCAGUGGCGAAGGCGGCCUUCUGGACUGACACUGACACUGAGGUGCGAAAGCGUGGGUAGCAAACAGGAUUAGAUACCCUGGUAGUCCACGCCGUAAACGAUGUCGACCAGCCGUUGGGUGCCUAGCGCACUUUGUGGCGAAGUUAACGCGAUAAGUCGACCGCCUGGGGAGUACGGCCGCAAGGUUAAAACUCAAAUGAAUUGACGGGGGCCCGCACAAGCGGUGGAGCAUGUGGUUUAAUUCGAUGCAACGCGAAGAACCUUACCUACUCUUGACAUCCUGCGAACUUGUGAGAGAUCACUUGGUGCCUUCGGGAACGCAGAGACAGGUGCUGCAUGGCUGUCGUCAGCUCGUGUUGUGAAAUGUUGGGUUAAGUCCCGUAACGAGCGCAACCCUUGUCCUUAUUUGCCAGCGAGUAAUGUCGGGAACUCUAAGGAGACUGCCGGUGACAAACCGGAGGAAGGUGGGGACGACGUCAAGUCAUCAUGGCCCUUACGAGUAGGGCUACACACGUGCUACAAUGGCCGGUACAAAGGGUUGCGAGCUCGCGAGAGUCAGCUAAUCCCGAAAAGCCGGUCUCAGUUAGUAUCGGAGUGUGCAACUCGACUCCGUGAAGU
rnacentral:rRNA from 1 species